rnacentral:rRNA from 1 species
UACGUAGGGGGCAAGCGUUGUCCGGAUUUAUUGGGCGUAAAGGGCGCGUAGGCGGUUUCUUAAGUUUGAAGUGACAGUGGGUGGCUUAACUACCCAAGGCCUUUGAAAACUGGGGAACUUGAGGACCAGAGAGGGACAUAGAAUUCCGGGUGGAGUGGUGAAAUGCGUAGAUAUCCGGAGGAAUACCAAAGGCGAAGGCAGUGUCCUGGAGGGUUAACUGACGCUGAGGCGCGAAAGCUAGGGGGGCGAACAGG